rnacentral:lncRNA from 1 species
CAAGAGACAUAGGAAGUUCUGACAGAGGAGACCAGCCUGUGUUGCCCUUCUAGGGAGGGAACCCAAUGCUCUCUCAAGCCUCUUUUCUUGUGGGAUCAGGAGGGAGGGGACAGCCCACGGGUACCAAGCUGCAUCCUUUGACCUUCCAUUCCCCUCAGACUGGCUUCUCCUUGCAUCCUCACUCUCCCCUAGCGGUGCCAGGUCCCCUAAGGACACUCCAGAUCUGGGAUACAGAUAUUUCGCAGGAAGAGCAGGUCAGGCAUGCUCCCCGCCAAAUGAAUUAUUCUCCUCUGUUCCCCGCAGGACGAGUACCCUAACUUAUCCAGAGGUUGCCAGAGGCACCCAAAGCUCGAAAUCUUAUCCAAACAGUUCAACUUGGACAACUUCUUGGAAUGGGGAUCCCCGUGCUCUCUGGGGAAAACCGCGCUGGCUGCCCACACAUCAGGAGAGGACACCUCGACUUUUCCGGGGGGAAUCCCCCUCAGAAUCCAUCUCUCUUGGCAGCGAGGUGUCCUAAAGAAGCAAAUUAAGAACUCUCCAAACAGGAGUGCGCUUCUGGAGUGGGAGGUCGUGGGCAGGAGCCAAAGCGCACAAGUUCAGCACUCGUUUUGGACAGAGAACUCCGUCCUUGUUUCCAAGUCAGAAAGCUCUUGUCCACUGGGGAAAAAAGCAGGGACUGAAAGUCGCUGGGAGGGAAGUCCUUAGGCGUGGGUCGGAAAACUGAGGUGAACUGCAACGCUCGAUCUUUGAGCCAUGUCGGUGGGAAACUAUUCUUUCUCCGGGGCGUGGGGGGCUGGGAGACUUCCCUGGCAAAGCAGUCGACGUAAGCCCAGCUGCUCUGGACUCUAUCCCUCUGUCCCUAGGCAGCCUGGAGAACUUGGUACCUCGGACAGCAGCCGGGGCGCACAGCAUCCUUUGUAAGGUGCGGUCUUAUUUUGCCCCCACCAAGUCAAACACCAACAAAUUAUUUCUCUGACCUUUCUAAUACAGAUGAAGGACAUUUUAAUUACAUAACCCAUGAAAGAUCACCGGAGGCAAUGUCGUGUUUGAGAACCGAUGGCAGAAUAGCUGCAUAGCAUAAAAAGACAGAAAACUUGCAAAUCUGCAACGAGAUUGCGCAAGGCUGUCCCUCCUCUGGAAACAACAUGUGAAAUGUAUGGAAAAAAAAUCUUACCUUUCGGACUCCAAAGCCGUGUUCUGCUGCAACUUGGCGAGCCUCUUCCUCUCCGUCUUUAUGCAACUCCACAAGAAAAUGAUUCGUGAAGACGGGUCUCUCGGCAGACGCAAAAACCAUCACACAGAAGAGGAACCCGGCCGCCUUCCACUGGGAUCCACAACCGCCCUCCAUCCUUCUUUGGGAGUGAAAAGUGGGGCUGUGAGGCGCGCAGGGUGGUGGAGCAGGGGACGAAGAGGGAAGAUGCAAAUAAAAAAUAGCGCCGCGAGCCCGCGCCCCCGCCAGCUCGGAGCGGCUUUGCUCCGCCCGACCGCUGCGCGCCCAGGAAAAUCCCCCCCGCUGCCACCCACUGCCGGCGCCCGGUGAUGUCAUUGUUUGUGGAAAUCUGCACAGCUCCGGGCAGGGAAUUACGGUGUAUUCAGACUCUCUAGGAAGAAGAAUUCAGAUCCACACACUAUCAAGUCGAGGAAAAUCUGCUAUGUCAGAGACGGGGAACAGGGCAAACCAUAGUCAUCCAUAGGAGGAACUUCUGGACCUGUGCAUAUUGUUUGAACCACCGCAGAAGGUUUGUCCUCAUAUUGCAGUUUGGUGCAAAAUGAAUGGUGCAGAACAAUACUGACAGAUUCAGUUAUAGGGAGACAUGUACAAGGAAGACCUGGCAACUUUCCUCAGCAAGAACAGAUGAAUGAAUAAGGAAAAUGAGCUUGUGCCUUUUACCUGAGGUGAUUUGUCAAAAGCCCACAGCACUGUGGCUGUUCCCAGACUUUAAGGGAUAUACUCAACCUCAAUCGAAGGAGAAUCUCAAAAGCUAAAUCAUUGAAUUGAGGGAGAGGUUUUAGUUGAAUGUGAGGUGACCUGUUCACCUGUGGGGCUGAAUAUAUUGGUCUGAAGGCAUUUCUUUCUUGCCAAAGCAUUAAACAAUGGGGACUUAUAUUAUUUGACUUACUGCUUGAGUGGUGUGGAAUGAGAGAUCCCACAGAAUGUGAUUUUCUUUGAUGCUUGAAAGAGGGUACAGUGUGUGAGCAGGGGACUGGAGAAUCAACUGCUUGCUAGGAGCCCCAGCUGGUGAAUACUGGAAAAACUGAGUUCUAUAGCACAAUUAAAGUCAUUCUAUUAAUGAUUUUUGACAUGCAUUAAUGUGGACCCCAACAAUGCUAUACAUGUAUAGGUAUUUCUGGGUUUUCCCUCCAUUUUGUGCUAUGCAUGGAGUUUCGCUGUUAUGGAACACAUUAAUUAGGUUCCUUUCUCUAUGGCUUCCCACUGAAUUCUGACAAUAGGAGGAAUUAUUUCAAAAAUUGAGACUGGGGCAGGAAUGUUGGCUCAGGAUUUUAUAUUCCGUAAUUUGCCCCUUAGUGGCUCAGCACAUGUUCCUUCACCAAUUGUAAGAGUUUUUUCUAAGGUUCUUCAGAAAUCACUAACCACUAUCCUAUUUUCUUAAGCCUGUAAGGACUAUAGGAGCAGUGUAUUGCUAUUUCUCUGUGGCUUUGCCAUGCUUCUUUUGAUUUUCUUGACCCCUUUAUGCUUUUGUCAGUAGACUUAACUAUACAUUUAAUUUCUUAUGUGUUGGCACCCUGGAUAGGGAAUUUCCUAUAAAAUGCAAAACAUUUUAUACAUGUUGAGUGUGUCUAAUACUUAUACAUUAAAUCUAUUAUGAUUAAAACACAAAUCUUAUUUUGAACAUAGUUACAACUUUCCAGCCUUUAUGGAGAUUGGCUGGACAUAUAGAGUUGUCAACAUAAACAAAAAGAGAAAAAUGACACAACAUGGAAGAAAAUAUAUGAGACAUAUUCACACAAUGCUAAUAAGAGGCAUAGGGAAAUGAGACAGUUGGAAUUUUUAGGACAUCUCCAGAACCGAACAAGUAGAAGUCAAAUUGGGAAAAAUCAGAAGGGAUUACCAGAAAAACAAAAACAAACAAAAAUCCAAAUGAAACAAACAAGCAAACAAGCAAGCAAGCAAGCAAACAAACAAACCGGAAACACAACCACUACAAGUCAUGGAAGAGGUAGGUUUAAGAAGGCCAGUUAAGCAUCCCCUGGAGAGUAUGCUCUGUGUGGUGAGCUCUGUCCGUGGUGCUGACGAUCCACUGUCUGAGCUUUGCUUCCUCUGUAGAGCAGGGGAAUUCAGCCUUAGUGACUGAUGUGCCUUCAGACUUGUCUGGAACAUACUUUAUACUAAGGGUGUUUUCCACAGGGGCAAAGUGUGCAAGGCUAAAGAAGAUUGGGAACUAUCUCAUUUGUCUCCCAGCUCUUGCAUGUUUGUACAUGAUUGAUAGCAGCAUCAGUGCCAUUGGCAAUUGCACUGAGCAUAUUACCAUGCUAAAACAAUUUACCAAGAAGAUAGGCACAAAUGUGAGAACCCACAGCAGCAGCUUCAAGAUAAGAGGCCAGAGCAAAUGUACCCUUUUUUCCACAAGAUGGAAACAGCCCAAAUACCUGGAUAAAUAUAUAUUAGCUGAAUUGAGACUUCUUUUUCCUAUUUCUUAAGUUACAUUGUCCUGAACCAAGGAGGACUAUUUCUCAUUUAAAAAAUGAAGAAGAUUGUUACAGAAGAUAUGAUGAAAACAAAUUAGUUGGUAAAAAUAAAUGGUAUUUGGACAGUUUGGGGAGAAAUAACAAUGUAUUCUAAGGCUUGCCUUUGUUGUUAUCAUUAUUCUUUAUAGCAGCAAUGACCAAGGAAACAAGUAGGCAUUUUUUUCAAGUUAUUGUCAAUUCAUUCAUUCUCAAUAGACACAGAAUGCAAUUUCUAGAUAAAAUCUAAUAUAUAAUUAUUGAGAAAUUUUAACCACCUGCAAGUUUUGCAGAGUAUUGCAACUUUGGUAUGAAAGAUCUUAAGUUUAAAAUGUAGGUGCUAAGACAAAUGAGAUCAUUGCAAUGACUUAGAAGGCUUCUCAUUGAAUUAGAGUGAAUUCAUGAAAAUAGGAAAAUGGAUCUAGAAUGGAUUGCAGAAAUGAUGGGAAUAUUAAUAUUAUGAGACCAUAUAAAUACCUCAGAAAUUACCUUGCCAGGUUUGUGAUCAAGUUUGUAAAGGAACUCACACACGAAAGAAGAGAGAACACAUGCUCACACAUAAACACACACACACACACACACACACACACACACACACACACACACACGAGUAUAAACUUAGACUUAGAUGCUCAACAGCAUCACUUGGAAAUGCAAGCACUUGAAAGUCACCUUGUGUUCCACUUCUUCCCUUUCCUUUUCUGAUUUUUAAAAGUCUUUGCUAUGGUGACAAAACAUUAAAGAAUUCCAGGACACAAUUUUCAGCCUGUGCUACAUCAAGAGCUUGGAGACUGUGGGAACCUGAAGA